UCCCUGGUGGCUCAGGCGAUAAAGUAUCUGUCUGCAAUGCAGGAGACCCGGGUUCGAUCCCUGGGUUGGGAA
rnacentral:tRNA from 1 species